GUAAAUUGUGAUGUGAAAAAAAAAAAAUUCAAAAGUGCUUUAAAAGUGUAUGAAUAUGAUGUAUGACUGUAUAUAGUAAUGUUUGGAGGUUUAUAAGAUGUUUUACGUGUUUAUGGUAAAUAAUUUCUUAAUGUGAAAUAUGCGCCAUGUGGUGCUAGCUUGCUCACACGGUGCAGGCCUAGUGUUGGACUGAGCACAUGGUGCAUUAGCAUGUAUGUUCUCAUGUAUGUACAAAUGAUUGAGACGGAGAGUUUGGUUUAAAGUGAAAUGAUUUAUUUGGACAAUGACAUUAAUGUUUCAUUUUGGCUUUGUUGUUACAAGGCUGGGUUUUUAUUUUUUUUGUGAGAAUUGUUCCUGAAUCCUGUCCUUGCUGAUUAUUCAUAUUCCGGCCGGGACUGGCGAGCCAUUCCAUCAUUUCCUACCUGGAAACAGAGAAAAGAGCGUGAAGUCUGCCGAACUGAUCUGAGCUCUCGUCGAUUGCUGCGCAAAACCUCCGACAGCCACGGUGUUGGACAAAAAGUGACGAGAACACCUCAAAGCCGAGCACCAAUCUCUGCCAAGCUGGUGGCCAACAUGCUGUCUGUCGCAGGAGCAGAUCAUAUCAUUACCAUGGAUCUCAGAUACAGGGCUUCUUGACAUACCUGUGGACAACCUGUACGCUGAGCCUGCUGUGCUGAAGUGGAUUAAGGAAAAUAUUCCUGAAUGGAAGAACUGCACCAUUGUCUCUCCAGAUGCUGGAGGAGCUAAAAGGGUCACGUCUAUAGCAGAUCAACUGAGUGUUGACUUUGCCCUCAUUUACAAAGAAAGAAAGAAGGCUAAUGAGGUGGAUCGCAUGGUGUUGGUGGGAGACGUGAAAGACCG